CUCCGAGGCAAUCUUUCACAUUCCUGUGAGAAAAUGAGUUCACUGUCCUUUCUUGAUCUCUCAAGAAACUCGUUCACGGGUUAUUUACCACCAACCCUGCCAUCAAAGCUGAAAUACUUGGAUAUUUCUGAUAAUGAAAUGUGAUAGUUUUUAUAUAUCAUGGAGUUAAUACUCCAUUGUUGCAGGUUACUGCAAUAUCAAAGAAAUGACAGUAAGAAACUUGAAGAAGAAAGAGAAGAAGCUAAUAGAUUUUCUAUAUUUCAAGUAUACAAUAAUGACUCCUAUUUAUAGGGAUCAUGUCAUUUCUAUUUGAUCACAUUUUUGGAGUGGAAGUUAGUUACAACUAACUACAAGUUGCCUAACUACUUCCAUGACUCCUAACUAACUAAUUCUAACAAACCUAACUACCUAUUGGACUUAUGUAAUUCCAAUACUCCCCCUCAAGCUGGAAUCUCUAUAGACAUUAAAGACUCCAAGCUUGUUGAUCAGUUCAAGAUGUUGAGAAACUCCCAGCCCUUUGGUUAGAAGAUCUGCUAAUUGCUCCUUUGUGUUGAUAUAUUCUGUGUGUAUCAUACCACUUUUGAUUUUUUCCCUCACAAAAUGACAAUCAAUCUCAAUGUGUUUGGUUCUUUCAUGAAAAAUAGGAUUAGCUCCAAUUUGAAUUGCAGCCUUACUAUCACAGUGCAAUUUUACAGGAACUAUCACAUUCACAUUAAGUUCUUUCAAUACUCCAAGUAACCAAGAUAUUUCUGAUACUGCAGCUGCCAUGCUUCUAUACUCAGCUUCUGCUGAACUUCUGCUGACUGUAUGUUGCUUCUUGGAUUUCCAAGAAAUGAGUGAAUUCCCUAGCUUGAUUACAUACCCUGUCACUGACCUUCUUGUGUUUGGACAUGAUGCCCAGUCUGAGUCACAGAAUGCCUCCAUUUCAUUGCUGUCUUCACUGCUAAGUAGUAUCCCUUGUCCUGGACAUCCUUUAAUAUAUCUAACCAAUCUCAAUGCAGCUUCCCAGUGAGACACCUUAGGUUUCUGCAUGAACUGUGAUAAAACUUGUACAGCAAAACAUAUAUCAGGCCUAGUAGUUGUUAAGUAUAACAAUCUACCAAUUAAUCUCUGAUAUGCAGUAACAUUUGCAUAUAAAGGAUCAUCUGUCUUUGCAGUGGCUUCAUCAUAUUCAACAGUAGUUAAUUUGACACCUGAUUCUAAAGGUGUGCUUGCUGGUUUUGACCCUCCAAGACCACAGUCAGAAAUCAACUCUAGUGCAUACUUUCUUUGGCUAAGAAUAAUACCAUUUCUUGAUCUUAGUACUUCAAUACCAAGAAAAUACUUUAGAUCACCAAGAUCUUUCAUUUUGAAGUUACUAUGUAAUGUAGUCUUUAGAUCCUCAAUUAGAACACUGCUAUUUCCAGUUAUAAGAAGAUCAUCUACAUAGAUCAACACUGCUGCAAUAUCAUCACCAACUAUCUUUGUGAAAAGAGAAUGAUCAUAAGAACUUUGAGAAUAACCAGCAGUAACUAGAGCCUCAGUUAGCUUAAGGUUCCAUUGCCUGGAAGUUUGUUUCAAGCCAUAUAAAGAUUUCAACAAUUUACACACUUUGUUCUCCCCCUGCCUCUGAAAUCCUUGAGGAAAGUCCAUGUAUACUUCUUCAUUGAGAUCACCUUGAAGGAAAGCAUUAUGAACAUCCAUUUGAAAAAGAGGCCAACCAUGGGAUGCUGCAACACUAAUCACAGUUCUCACUGUGACCAUCUUAGCUACUGGAGAAAAUGUUUCAUGAUAGUCCAACCCUUCUUGUUGAUUAUAGCCUUUGGCAACUAACCUUGCCUUGUACCUUUCCACCUCACCAUUAGCUUUAAGUUUAACUUUAUAAACCCAUUUUGAACCAAUAGGAUGUUUACCAGAUGGCAAAUCUACUAUUGCCCAGGUAUUGUUUUGUUCUAAAGCAGCUACUUCAGACUGCAUUGCAUCCACCCAUUGUUGGUGUUUGGAGGCUUCCUUAAAGCUGGUGGGUUCCACUAUAACUGAGAACCCCUUGAUAAAGUUUUGAUAAGAUGGUGUCAAGAGUUCAUAUGACAAAUUAUUAGCAAUAGGAUAUGAACAAGUCAUAUUAGACUUAGUUGAAAUUAUGUAAUCUUUAUGCCAAAGAGGAGGCCUAGUAUUUCUAGCAGUUCUUCUAGCAGGUGUAAGAUCACCAUCAUCUGUGAUUUCACUAUGUUGUGGCUCCAGCAGAUUAUUCUCUAAAGAAGCAUCAACUUCUGAUUGUAUAGGAUUGAUCUCCUCAACAUGAUCUUCAAUAGAAUCUACAGGAUUUGAAGGUAUAUUAUCAUCUGCAUGAUCAAACAUAUCCAUUUGUAUAGGAGCAGUAUAAUCUGUGGUUGAUGAUACUUCUUUUGUGAUAACAUCUUUGAAAGGAAAUGAAUCUUCCAUGAAUGUAACCUCCCUGCUCACUGAUAUGACAUGAGUCUCCAAAUCCAUGACUUUAUAUCCUUUUUGUGUCUCUGAGUACCCAAUGAAGACUGAUCUUGUUGCUCUUGGAGCAAAUUUAUCUCUUCUUGGCAAAACUGAUACAAAACAUAAACAUCCAAACACCCUCAAAUGUUCUAGAUUAGGUGCUCGUUUAUAAAGAAGUUCAUAUGGUGACUUCCCUUGUAAUACAGUUGUAGGCAUUCUGUUUAUCAGAUAAGCUGCAGUUUUAACACAAUUUCCCCAAAAUCUGAUAGGAAUUUCACUGUGAAAUCUCAGUGCUCUGGCUACAUUUAAUAUGUGUCUAUGCUUUCUUUCAACAACACUAUUUUGUUGAGGUGUAUAAGCACAUGAACUCUGAUGAACUAUUCCAAGAGAAGAAAACAAAACACUGCAUUUAGAGUUAAAAAACUCAGUUCCAUUAUCAGUUCUCACAACUUGAACUUUAACACCAAAUUGUGUAUUAACCAUCAACAUAAAGUCUUUCAAUAUAAUGUGCACAUCUGAUUUGUGUUGAACUAGACAAAGCCAAGUAAAUCUACUGAAAUCAUCAACAAUUGUCACAAAAUACUGCUUAUUAUCAUGUGUAAGAACUUUGUAAGGUCCCCAGAGAUCAACAUGAAGAAGUUGAAAAUUAUGAGUUGACUUAGAAUUACUUGUAGGAAAACUCAAUCUACUUUGUUUGGCCACUGGACAUAUUUGACAGCAAUUGUAUGUGGAGAUGUUGAAGUACUUCUUAAGAGAAAUUAUCUGUUCCAUAACUUUGAUAGGUGGAUGUCCAAGUCUGAAAUGCCACAAGUCAGCCAAACUUGCACCCUUUUUUGAUGUUGAAGCUGAAUUAACUCUUGCUCUAACAGUACUUUGUAGUAGGUAUAAACCAUCAAUCUCUUUACCAAUCCCAAUCACCUUGCCAUUGUAAAGUUCCUGCAGUACACAAAAGUGAGGAAAGAAACUCACACUACAAGAUAAUUCCUUGGUGAGUUUUGCCACAGAUAGUAAAUUGAACUUAAAAUCAGGUACAUGAAGUACAUUCUUCACUGUCUGAUUUCCAAAAAUGACUGAAUUGCCUGUAUGUUUCACUUGAGCUCUGCUUCCUGUUGGCAACUGAACUGUACUCGAGUAUUCAUUCUUUGUGUUUUUCAAUUCAUACAUGAGCUCCUCAUAUGAAGCAACAUGAUGAGUAGCUCCUGAAUCAAUUAUCCAGUCAUAUGCAGAUGAUUUAGUCUGUAAAGAAACAUUACCUGUCAAGUUAGCCUUGCAGUCACUUGGUUCUUUGUUGUGUAACAGAUUCUUCAUUUGAUUGUAUUCUUUCUUUGUGAAUUCAGAUUCCUCCCUCUGUUUAUCUAUUGAAGCAUUGUUAGCAUAUGGCUUAAAGUUUCCAGAAUUUCCAGUGUUGUUGUAAGUAUUACUACUGUAAGAACCAUGUGAUCUAAAACCUUCAUUGUUGUUCUGGUAUGAUCCAGUAGAAUCUGAUUGUUUCCUCUUACUCUUGAAGUCAGAAGGAUAUCCUACCAGCCUAUAGCACUUUUCAGUUACAUGAUUUUUGAAACCACAGAUCUCACAUCCAGUAUUGUUAUUGCCUGGCAAUACUUUCUUCCCUUUGAAUCCUUGUCCUUGUCCUUUUCCUGCCAUCAUAGUAAGUGGUUCUUUAUUUGAAUCCACAACACCUAAUACUCUUUGGCUUUCCUCUUGAAUUACAGUUGCAUAAGCUUGGUUAAUUGUAGGUACCUCACUUUUCAGCAACAAAUCACUUCUCACAUGACUGAAAGUCUCAUUUAACCCCAUCAAGAACAUCAUCAAUCUUUGUUGAUGUAAAUGCUCAAUGUAAGGCUUAGCAUCAUCACAUUUACAUGAUGGUGAAGGCACCAAUACAUCAUACUCAUCCCAUAAAUCCCUCAAUUUAGAAUAAUACUCUGUUACAGAAUCCGUACCUUGCUUUAAUGUGGCUACUUCUGUCCAAAGUUGAUAGAUCCUAGUAAGAUUAGAUUUAUCAAACCUCUCCUUGAAAUCUUCCCAAACUCGUUUUGCAUUUGAUGCAUAUACUAUUGUUGUUAACAAAUUGUUUGCUACUGUGCUGCUAAUCCAUGAAAGAACCACUGCAUUGCACCUUUCCCAUUGAACUGCUAAUUCAUCCUUGUACAUACUCUUUAAACAGGUUCCAUCUAUGAAGCCUAUCUUGUUCUUCACCAACAGUGCCAAUCUCAUCGAUCUGCUCCAAAGACCAUAAUUCUCAGGUCCUGUAAGCUUUGUUGUGAUCAAUGCAACACCAGGCGUGUCUGAAGGCUGCAGAUAGAGUGGAUGAUUGUGUCCAAGAGUUGCUACAGUAAGUUCUGCCAUGGCUAUAAUCUGAUCUUCAAAAAUUACUUCGCGGAAAGAAAAAAUUCGAAAUCAAAUUAGUCCUAAUUACGCCCGCUCUGAUACCAUGAUAGUUUUUAUAUAUCAUGGAGUUAAUACUCCAUUGUUGCAGGUUACUGCAAUAUCAAAGAAAUGACAGUAAGAAACUUGAAGAAGAAAGAGAAGAAGCUAAUAGAUUUUCUAUAUUUCAAGUAUACAAUAAUGACUCCUAUUUAUAGGGAUCAUGUCAUUUCUAUUUGAUCACAUUUUUGGAGUGGAAGUUAGUUACAACUAACUACAAGUUGCCUAACUACUUCCAUGACUCCUAACUAACUAAUUCUAACAAACCUAACUACCUAUUGGACUUAUGUAAUUCCAAUAAAAUGGAAGGUCCUUUAGGAAGAAGCAUCACACAACUUAAGCAAUUAGUUGUCCUCAAUGUUGCUCGAAACUCUUUCAAUGACUCGAUUACAGAACAUUUCUUGAAUUUAACUGAUUUGAGAGUGUUAGACUUGUCAUCCA
rnacentral:lncRNA from 1 species